rfam:Otolemur garnettii contig007644, whole genome shotgun sequence.
AAGACUAUACUUUUAGGGAUCAUUUCUAUAGUUUGUUACUAGACAAGUCUCUCUGAAUGUGUAGUGCACCGAAAACCACAAGGAGGAGGUGUGGUGUUUUCUUCUGAGCGUGAAGUUGGCAUUUGGUGUUGAAGUUGCUAUAACUGCCACUUGUCGUUAAUGAUCGUUCUUCUUCUACAAGGGAAGUGAGAGAGAGAGAGAGAGAGAGAAAAAAGCAAAUCCAAAGCAGU